rnacentral:rRNA from 1 species
CGUUCCCGGGCCUUGUACACACCGCCCGUCACAUCACGAAAGUGGAUUGUACUAGAAGUCCUAAUCAACAGGCCCAAGGUAUGAUUCGAUGAUUGGGUG